rnacentral:rRNA from 1 species
GAUUACCUCAGUAACGGCGAGUGAAGCGGUAACAGCUCAAAUUUGAAAGCUAGCUCUUUUAGGGUUCGCAUUGUAAUUUGUAGAAGAUGCUUCGGGUGUGGCCCCGGUCUAAGUUCCUUGGAACAGGACGUCAUAGAGGGUGAGAAUCCCGUAUGUGACUGGGUGCUUUCGCUCAUGUGAAGCUCUUUCGACGAGUCGAGUUGUUUGGGAAUGCAGCUCAAAAUGGGUGGUAAAUUUCAUCUAAAGCUAAAUAUUGGCCAGAGACCGAUAGCGCACAAGUAGAGUGAUCGAAAGAUGAAAAGCACUUUGGAAAGAGAGUUAAACAGUACGUGAAAUUGUUGAAAGGGAAGCGCUUGCAACCAGACUUGCGCGCUGAUGAUCAUCCGGGCUUCUGUCCGGUGCACUCGUCUGCGCUCAGGCCAGCAUCGGUUUCGGUGGUGGGAUAAAGGCCUUGGGAAUGUAGCUCCUCUCGGGGAGUGUUAUAGCCCUCGGUGCAAUGCCGCCUAUCGGGACCGAGGACCGCGCUUCGGCUAGGAUGCUGGCGUAAUGGUUGUAAGCGACCCGUCUUGAAACACGGACCAAGGAGUCUAACAUCUAUGCGAGUGUUUGGGUGUCAAACCCAUACGCGUAAUGAAAGUGAACGGAGGUGAGAACCCUUAAGGGUGCAUCAUCGACCGGUCCUGAUGUCUUCGGAUGGAUCUGAGUAAGAGCAUAGCUGUUGGGACCCGAAAGAUGGUGAACUAUGCGUGAAUAGGGUGAAGCCAGAGGAAACUCUGGUGGAGGCUCGCAGCGGUUCUGACGUGCAAAUCGAUCGUCAAAUUUGCGUAUAGGGGCGAAAGACUAAUCGAACCAUCU